ACACCCGAAGACACACCUUUUUCUCUAGGUUCGCAGUUUCGAGCAUUCCUGCAGGAAAAUUUCAAAAGCAUGGAACGAGAUGCCAUCUGCCCACCUUGCCCGUCGUCCCCUAGAGAACGAUCAUCUGGAGCUAAUGGAGCUGGUGGACAUCCCCGAGGAAAGCUAACCACGAACCCGUUCUUCAACUUCCUGCGGGACUAUCGAGGAAAGCACCCGAAUCUAUCGGUUGUGGAUGCGGCCGUGGAAGGUGCCAGCGUUUGGAACCGUAUGGGCCCGGAAGAGCGUGCACCAUAUGUGAAGCAGGCCUGUGGACAUCCCCAGCGAGUUACGCCCUGCGGUGUGCAAAGUCCCAGGUCCGGGUCGCGGAAACUAUCCAGGGCAAGUUCUCGGGGAAGACGAGUCAGCAGGUCGGCAAGCCGCAGAGGACGCAAGCGCAACCGAAGCUCAAGCUCUGGAGGUCGAAGUCGGAGUCGGUCCAAGGCCCGUCGUGCUCGACGAUGCUGACGAGGGGCAAGCAAAAUUGUAACGUAGUAUAUUAUAUUUUGAUAGAAAAUUAUUAAGAAACAUUAAAUCUGCUGUAAGUACAAAUG
rnacentral:lncRNA from 1 species